UUUAUUGAUCUCACGAAGCGGUGCCAUGGAUUUGUCAUCCAUGCAAACAUGAAUGUUGGAUGGCAAACCUGAGGCCAGACUAUGUGAUUAUUGAACUCGCCACAGAAGCAUCUUUGAUUCUGGGUGCAGAAAAAUACAAUGUGAAGGAAAAAUGUGUCCAGUGAUGGGUCGACUGCUAAAUUUACAUAGGAAUGGAUUACAAAGGAAAUGAAUCAACAGAUAACGAUGAGGUAAGGUUGGAGGUGGCCUGAUAAGAACUAGCUAACUUUACCUCACCAAAUAUAGAGAUAAUAUGAUAAAAUACCUCUUGCUUUCUAGUCUUAUAGUCAGAAGCCCCCGAAGUUUUGAUCCAAGAAUUCUGAGCAAGGGACUGAGAAUGGUUCGCCGAGAGUGCGGACUUCGGACGGAUGGUUUCCUCUCGUUUCCCCCUUGUUUUCUUUCUUUCUUUCUUCCUUCCUUUUCCCCAUUUUUCGCUCCAAGUUGAUCCUCAAAUAAAGCUUCAAGAGAGAUCUCCACUGCCUGGACAGUGUCCUCCUCCUCCCCCUGCCCUGCUCCCUCAAAAACAAGACAAA
rnacentral:lncRNA from 1 species